AAUUACAUAUAUGGUACUUUUAUUUCAGAUUUUCUUUUUAGAAAAAAUGAUUCCAAAUUUUAUUUUAAAGAAAGAAACAUGUGUGCUAAACGUGCUUUGUCAAUUCUUGUGUGUAUAGUUUCUAAUAUUACAAUACAUCAUUUGGAGAGAUGUUUGUUGACAUCAAAAAAAUGAACCAACAGAAUUCUGACAUCGUCCUCUCUACGUAGAUAUCACAUGUUCACUGAACACCCCAUUAGAAAGCAAAGGUUGUUGGUCGAGAAAAAUGCCCGACAACCAUUUGCACUACGAUUGUCAAGUCAACGGUUGGACUAGAGAAAAAGAGAGUGCAAGAGAGGGAGAGAGGAUUUGGUUAUGGUUAGAAAACAUACCUUAUGUGAAAUGGAAUCAUAUAGAUAAAUAGAGAGAUAGAUCGGUCAUGUGGGCUAAUGGGCCGAGUUCCUAGCCCAAUAUGAUGUUAUUUAAUUUAAUAGGUCCAAUCAAUUAAAUAGUUGACGUCACGUUGGCAUAUAUGGGACUUUCUCCGUCAUGUGUAUACCAUGUAAUAUAUAGGUGUAACAAUAGUCUUCCAAGUUUGAAUCGUACAUUUAUGUGCGGAUCGGACUUUGAAAUAUAAGUUGUCAAAUAGGCGAUGUUUUACAGAUUGCCUUGAAAAUAUGAGUAGCUCCAAUAAACAAGGACUUACGAACUACCUCGAAGAUAUGCAUCGAAUUCAAAUAGAUGAGAACUUGCGUAUUGCCUCGAGAAUAUUAGCCGUUCCAAUAAGUGAGAACUUACUAACUGCCUUAGAAAAUAUCAGUGAGAGCCUGAAUAAGCGAGGACUUACAAAUUGCCUCAAAAGAUGUCCAAUAUAAUUUAUCAAAAUUUUGACAGCAUCUCCUCUGUAAUAUAAACUUAACCAGCAUGUAAUACAAUACAAUUUAUUCACUGCACAUAUACAAAAUAAAUUUGGGAUCUAUUUGAUCCUUCAAGCACUGAUAACUAUAAAGUGAAUAACGAUAUAUCACAUUUCUCCAAGAUAUAAUAUGCAGAAAAACUAUCGUGUAUCAUAGCAGGUCAUAUGCUUGACGAUACUGUAGAUAAUGUGAUAUGCAUAAUAGCACUAGUAAAAAUAGUAUUAUAACAUACUAGUAAUGAUGCGGCAUGUGUACUUAGUAGCAAUAAUAUAAUGAAUAUACUGGUAGUAAUAAUUUAAUGAUACGAAGAGUUCCAAGUCCAAUAUGAAGUUAUUUAAUUUCAUAGGUCCAAUCAAUUGAACAGAUAUAUAUGGGAUGUCAACCCUCUCUGUCAUGCGUAUGUCACGUAAUAUAUAUGUGUAACAAUGUUAAUGCAAUAUAGUGGUCCAAUUUCGUACGUUAAUUUACUACUACAAUCUCUCUAUAAUAUUAAAAUAGUAUUUCGAAAUGACAUUUAAAAAUAUUGAUUAAUUGAUGAUAAAAAUUCUUUUCAAAUUAUCCUUCCCUUAGAAAUAUCGAUUAAUUUCUGACAAAAAUAUUUUCAAAUGUUUCUUCCCAUAUUAAUAAUAUUUGGGAUAUAAACUCAUCCACCCAAUUAAAGUAUGUAAAUAAAUCGAUAUUUAUCAACUAUAAUUAUGGUAAUAAACACGUAUCCCACUUGUAUAUGGAAAUUAAAUCUCAUAGUUUCAUUGGGAUAAUUUUGUAAUCACAAAGCAGUUCCGUCCUUGUUUUCUAUAUAUAUAGCCCGUUUUAUAUUGAACCCACGAAACCCACAAAGAAAUCUGUUUUCAGUUUUUAUUUUCAAGAAACCAUGGCCAAGUUUCUCCUCAACAACCUUUUGCUUCUCAGGAGAUUAUCAACAAUUGCAGCAGCAGCGAGUACUAAAACACAUACCACAACUUCGUCCGUGAUUAAGAAAGUGGUUGAAUCUGUAAGAAAAGAAGUAUUCUGGAUGAGAGAUCCAAAAACUGGAAUCUGGAAGCCGGGGACUCACUUCGAGGACAUUGAUGCUGCAGAACUCCGAGAGAAAAUUCUUUUCAAGAAGACCAAAUUCUAAAAACCAAUUAAGACCGAGAAAAACUUCUUCCAGAGAGAAACUUCUUUACUAGAAGAUCAAAUUCUGAAGAUUUUCAAUAUCGGGCCCCCAUUGGGCCGGGUGGAAUUCCUAUAAAACUAAUAUUCGAUAGGAAUUUUUUUUUUCUUUUCUAGUUUUUUGCAUCUACUUUAGUUUUAUGGCCUGUAAUAGUACUUAAAGUACAGUACUUUUGUUGCAUGAACUCCAUUCCACGUAAGGAUGUCAAUUUAGCU